CGCUGCGCCACCUCUUUGGUAUUGAUCUCCUCCAUCUGCCCUGAAUUACUUCCAUUGCUGACCUGCGCGCCGGUCACCGAAGGGUUGGGCUCCCGGGCCGUGCCCAGGAGCUGUCCGUGGCCCUGGGCGUUCAGAGUGCCCAGCAAAAAGCUUGGCCCCCUUAGAUGUACUAUGGAGGGAAGAAAGCAUUAGAGUCUCUGGAAGAAUUCCUUGACACUGGGCAGGGCGAGAGACACUUGGCUACAGCUUUGGAAGCCAGUCAGCACUUUGGAGGCUUGCAGAGUCUAGAAUGAAGCUCCCCGGGGGAGGGGCAUGCCAAUGGCAGCCGGCUACAGCAGAACCCUGGUUAAAGGCGGUGAGAGACCUGAUUCUAGAUGCUUCCUGCAGGGUUCUCCCGUCUUCCUCUGGAGUCUUUCCACCUCUCCUGGAGAAGUUUCUUCCGAAAAUUGCUGUUGGCUGAGAAUAGGCAAUAAUUUGCAAGGAAAAAAAGUGGUCCUAUGGUGUAGUGUUGAAAACAACAAAAAUAACAAAUUAGUUCCCAGUUCCGUGAAGUGUGCCGCCUGUCUGUCCCAUCCCUGUGGAAGGAGUGCUCCAACACUCCGCUUCAAGCUUUGCUUCUGCGUUCAGUGUCCGUGCAGUUUUAAUUCGUCUGUUCAGUUAUCCCCUUUCCUUCCUAAACAUCCUUCUGCGAAUGGAAAUGAUUUUCAAACCCAGCAGUUUUGCACCACCCGUUCUUUCAUCUCUCACCCACCCACCCCUAUCCCCAAAGAUGACGCCCGCGGAAGGGCGCCCAGCUCCCUCCAACCCCGCUAACACAGAGUUCCAGGAACUGCUUGGAGCCACCUCGGUGGCGGUCUGAAAACUGACCACUAGCCGAGCCUCUCUGGUUACUUCCUGGGCAAGCAAGAAAACCGCCUUGCUCUCCUGGGACGCUGGAGGAACUAGCAGAGGAUUCUUCUGGGCUGAAACUUUCUGGGGAGAUCGCCUGCUUCGGCAAAGGCGCUGAGGGGUGUCCGCAGUGGCCGUGGGACUGAGGGGGAGGCUUCUGCCUCCUGGGUGACGGGUGGCGGGGGCGCCUGACUCCCGGGGAAUCGGUCUUGCGUGGUCUGACCUUCAGUGGGCUGUGUCUCAUGGUCAUAAUUUUAUAUUAACGGAGGAGGAACCCUGCGAGGAAGCCAGUGGCGUUUUCCAGAUUUGGGGUGGCUAACGGUGAACGUUCCUUUUUCAGCCCUCCUCUUUUGGAGGUCUGCGAUGGGUUAGCAAUGGCCUUCGGAUGGUGGAGAGUGCCAAAGGUGGACAUUGGAAAGGAAGUGGCUGGGGGUGAGGGCCCGCGCCUUGGUGCCAUUCCAAGCCACCAAAAGUAAGAAAAACUCAGAUGGGUGGACGGAAGGCUAAGUGUACUCCCGAUGCUCUCUCCAGUACAAUAUUCUUCUCCGACUCUGGUGAUAAUUAGGAGGCAGCAGUCACCAGCCACCGCCCAGCCGGGAGCCUUGGGCUGCGCAGGGCUUGGGCCAGCCAAGUACUACCCUAAGCUGGGCCUACUCACGCCCACUUGGCGAACUCCACAGUCGCCCGGCAACACCGACGCAGGCCCAGAACAGCUGCACUUGGGAAGGAGGAAAAACUCUUUAAACAAAUCAUUUUGGUGUCUAAUCAAUUAGUGUUUGCGCAGUCAAGUACCAUAGAUUUAACAGAAUAAUCGUUACUGCCCUUGUCUUUAUUUGACCCGCAGACACCUAGAAGAUUUAAAAAUAAAACGCAGGUGUUCUGAACGCCUGCCCCGUUGCCUGCGCCGCUGGGUUUGGCUUUGGCUUUCUCCAGGGGGAGACUCAUCCCUCUCUUUGUCCUUCACUCUCCAUAUUUCAGUCCCCGUCCCCCGACCCCUCGUCCCCCUCACUUCCGUCCUGGCCUGCCUUUCACAAAUCAGCCACCUUAUUGGUCUGUCCUCACCCUUGGUCUCUGACCCAGAGACUCUGCGGGAAGGCCCUUUAGCCUGAGCGCCAUCCGGCUGUAGGAUUAUGGACUGGACCAAAGUCCUCCAUCCACCCCAACGCCCAGACCUCAGCCUUUAUAUGCCUUUCAUAUCCUAAGACGCAAGACGCCUUGUGCUUGACCUCUAGUUUCUGUGGAGGUGGGGAAAAGACCUUGGCCUAGGUGUGUGUGUGUGUGGGUCUUGCAUGCGUUAGGGGUCUUGCUCCAUAAAUGCAAACAAUUGGAUUCUCUCUCUGUCUCUGUCUGUCUGUCUGUCUCUCUCGCGGUGAAAGGAAAAGGUAAAGCACAAAAGCUUUGGUCCACAUCCCACCAUCACGUGGCUGUGGAGAAGGCUGUGCCAGUCUGAAGAAGAGCCAACGCAAGAGGGGUACCCACGGGGCAGGCAACUGUCUAUCAGAUGCAAGCUUCUCCGGUCCACAGGGCCUCCAGACUCUUGCAGCCCACUUCCGAGUGUUUCACAGUCGUCACGUGUGUGUGUGUGUGUGUGUGUGUGUGUGUGUGUGUAGCUGCGUGGAUGCAGGAAUGCUUCACCUCUGGAGUCCCCACGCCUGAGAUGAGGUCCCAGACGAUUGUCUGUGGGGCUAAGAGACACAGAGGUGGGGCUGUGGGAAUACGGACGUGCAGGCGAGAAACUUGGCAAUACCCACACACCUGCACCCCCUUUCCUUCCUUUAAGGAGGGGGAGGGGGGCUGGCAGUGGGGUUCACAUACCCGAGUGGAGCUUUUAUUGAAUACUAGGCUGUAACUGUACCAGGAGAGGGUGGGUGGGAGGUGGGACUGAAGGCGAAUCUGUCCCCCACCGUGGCUGUUCCAGGUGCCCCAAAUACUCCAGAGGAUUCCCACCUCCCUGGAACUAACCGGCACCCCGGUUCCCUACAUCACCUGAGAAACCUUCCUCCCAACAAUAGAUGGUCAUAAUGUACUUGACUAAUGCCCGUAUUUUCCUGUUUAACAUACAUUAAUCCAAGUAACAAAAAAAAAAAAAAAUCAAUAUCGCUAACAACAUUGCAAACAAAUCUUAGUCCAUCUCACACAAAAACCUCCUCAGAUUUUCAAUCACUCCCAUCGCCUUGAAUUUUGUUAAUCUCCGAGGCCGCUCAUAGUAGCUCCUGGCUACUGUGAAACUAACCCCCAACUUUUUAAUAGCAGUCUCUAAAAUUCCAUCCUCCCCCAUCCUUUCAUCGUGGGGUGGCACCGAAGGUCUUCAAAACCCGAGCCACGUCAGGGUCAGGA